UGGGGAAUAUUGCACAAUGGGCGGAAGCCUGAUGCAGCGACGCCGCGUGAGGGAUGACGGCCUUCGGGUUGUAAACCUCUUUCAGCAGGGACGAAGCGUAAGUGACGGUACCUGCAGAAGAAGCGCCGGCCAACUACGUGCCAGCAGCCGCGGUAAGACGUAGGGCGCGAGCGUUGUCCGGAUUUAUUGGGCGUAAAGAGCUCGUAGGCGGCUUGUCGCGUCGACUGUGAAAUCUCAGGGCUCAACUCUGACAUUGCAGUCGAUACGGGCAGGCUAGAGUUCGGUAGGGGAGACUGGAAUUCCUGGUGUAGCGGUGAAAUGCGCAGAUAUCAGGAGGAACACCGAUGGCGAAGGCAGGUCUCUGGGCCGAUACUGACGCUGAGGAGCGAAAGCGUGGGGAGCGAACA
rnacentral:rRNA from 1 species